CACCUCACUUAUAAGACGGGGGACUAGCUAGAUGCUCUGUUCACUAGUAAAACGUGAGGUAGAGAAUAGAGACAACCAGACACCAAGAAUGUUUUGAUGUUUUUGGUCACUUUGUCUGUCCCACAUUU
rnacentral:snoRNA from 1 species